AUGGACCAUAAAACAUGGCUUUGGAGAAAAAAAGCAUCACAAAGGACAGUUCUAGCAAAGAAUAAAUCCAAUAUAUCAGAAAAGGAACAUGAGGACAAGAUUGCCCGGUUGGAGAGAUCACUGCAAGGCUUAAAUGAACAACUUUCAUUUGCUCAUGCUGAAUGCUUCGAGAAGGACGCUAUUUUAGCCAAGCAAGCAAAAGUAGCUGAAGAAGCCAUACUAGGCUGGGAGAAAGCAGAAGCUGAAGCUAUAGCUAUCAGGACAGAACUUGAUGAUACUCUACAUCAGAAAGCCAUGGUUGAGCAAAGGAUUUGUCAGCUUGAUGAGGCUCUAAAUGUUGCAAUGGAAGAGAGGGAGUUAUUGAUAAAGGACACUGCUGAAAUAAUUUCUUGUGAGAAGGAUAAAGUUUGGAAGCUUGAACAGAAUGUCACAGAGAAAGAUAACAUAAUUGCUAGCUUGGACGAUGAGUAUAGCAGACUAUCUGAAAUCCUCUCAACAAAAGAGAAAAUCAUCUUGGAUCUAACUGAAUCAAAUGCAGUGAAAGAGUCAGACUUGAAGGACCUUGCAGUAAAACUGGAGUCAACGGAGAGGUCAAAUUCUUCUCUUAGAUAUGAAGUUUGCAUGCUGCAGAAGCAACUUGAUAUUCGUAGUGAGGAAAGGAAGUGCAAUCUCAAAUCUGCUGAUGCUUCACACAAACAACAUCUUGAAAACGUAAGGAAGAUUACUAAGCUAGAAGAAGAAUGCAAGAGAUUGCGCUCGAUGGUGCGUAAAAGGCUGCCAGGACCAGCUGCCGUUGCUAGAAUGAGAAGUGAAGUUGAGACACUGGGCAGCAGUACAACACACAUAAGGACGGGAAAGUUGAAUUCUACCUCCUUCAAUUCAUAUGAUCAGACACAGAACUCUUCCAAUGCAUCACAUGUAAGUCCUUCAUUGCUUGCAAGGCUACACGUGACGGAAGAUGAAAAUAAGGCCAUGAAGGAAUCUCUUUCUAGAAAGGAUGGUGAACUUCAGCUUUCUCGUACUAUGCUUGCUCGUACAACCUCUAAACUUUCCCAAGUUGAAGCUCAACUUGAAGACUUAUCAGGUGAUCAAGCUACCACGGGACUGGUAAAGAGAAGUCCUACAGUGGUUGAAAAUCCUCUUUCAUCUAUCACCGAGGGUGGUUGCAAUGAAGAUAAUGUAAGCUGCUCAGGUUCAUGGGCGUCAGCCUUGAUUUCUGAACUUGAACAUUUCAAGAAGGGGAAGCUGACUACACCUUCUUGUAAGAGCACAGGAAUGUCAGACUUAAGUUUCAUGGAUGACUUUGAAGAAAUAGAAAGGCUAGCGAUGGUAUGUGACGAUAAGCCUUCAAAAUCGUAUGAUGUAAAGAGAGAGGCAAUCGAAUCAGCAGGUAAAGAGCUGGUUCCAGUGGAUGGUCCCGAUGAAACAACUAAUCAAGUUCACCCGCACAAGACUGAGAAGGGACUCCUGAAGUUAAUUGAACUUGUCGAGGGAGUUAUUCAAAGAUCGUCAAAGGAUUACAGUAGCAAACUCGUGCAAUCUGGUGACAACAUGGGUGAUCAAUCCACGCUGAUAACUGGUUAUUUCGCUCAUGCAUUCUUAUGGAAAACAUCAGAACUUACCUGUGUACUGCGACACUUCAUUGUUGUAUGCAAUGAGCUUCUGUAUGGGAAUACCGAUGUCGAAAGAUUUGUUCUUGAAGUGAGCCUCACACUAGAUUGGAUACUCAACCACUGCUUUUCACUGCAAGAUGUAUCAGAGAUGAGGGAAACUAUCAUAAAGCAUUUGGGUUUAGAUAGCGGUGAUGGGCAUGAAAUUGUUGCAGCCAAACAAAUAGGAGUCGAAGUGAUAAAUGGCAUAGAUGAACCCAGCACUCCAAGCAGCGAGCAGAUGUCACUAGUUUCUGCAUCAGGCCCCGUGGAUAUUGGACUUAAAGCUGAUAAUGACACAGACAGUAUAAGGAAUGGAGUCUCAUUCUCUAAAUCCCAUGCACCGGAAGGAACAUCUUCAAGUUUGCGAGCAGAACUUAAUGCAUUGAAAGAAACAGGAAAUCUGGUAACACACGGUGUUGAUGGUAAAUCAACAGUGAGUGAACUUGACAAACACAAAUCCAUCCCUAACUCUGAGGCAAACAAGGGAAAUCUACAGGGAAGCAGUUACUCUACUGAAGAAGACCCAAAAUGUGUUUCUGGGAAUAAAGACAACAAUGUACACACGCAGCUGGAGAUCUCGACAGCAUCAGAAAAGCUCAUCGAGUGCCAGGAGACAAUCCUAAGCCUGGGAAAGCAACUAAAAGCACUUGCAUCGCCAAAGGAUGCCACCUCGGUUCGUCCGGAGCGAAAACCUCGGUCUAAGUCACUGAAUGAGAUGCUAGCCGUCGACGACGGGGGAUUUGAUGACCUCAGCUCCCCGAAGACCAAGGAGAUUAUAUGCUCAGAACUAAGGCCACCACAUGAAAGAAAUUUUUCUGUCGGCGGGGGAGGUGGCGAUUCAGAAUCAUGUUAUUCCCACCCGACGCCAGUGGUUCCACCUGCCAAACCUUACGGCGUGAGCGGAACCUGCAAGAAAGAAGCUGCUGCGAGGCCAGUAUCGCUCGCAGUUGUCCCAAGCAAGCAGAGGGGAAACCCCAACUUGCUCAAGAGGAUCCUGACAGGAAGGAGAAGGGAUGCCAUAAUCAAACCAAAGGUGGUCCUGAGUGCUUAG
rnacentral:rRNA from 1 species